AAGUGUUACCACAUUUUUAAAAAAAAUCAAUGGGAUACUAAACUGCUUGAGAACUUUGAAGGCCUAUGAAACGCUGUGGUUCGGAGGAAAACCCCUGCAGGAGUGACCUCUGUGUGUCCAGGCCGCAGAGCAUGUGCUUCAAAAUACCUCAAGUGUCCUUAUACGCCAGAAAUAUCACCUGCCAAGUGGUGGAGGGGCUGUUCAGGGGGGAUGACUGGGUCACACUUGCAAGCCAAAUAGGGCAAGAACUCCGCGAGCAUGUGGUGUGUAAAAUGAAGCUGCAAGCUGAUCCUCUCCCAGAAUAGACCCAAGAGCGCCUCCUCCGUUUGGCGGUAUAAGAGCGGCGAGUCCGUGGGAACCGUUUGGCUCAAGACACCUUCGCCAGGACAAUAACAUACAGUUUAGGCGCCAGUAUCCUGAGCUGCACUGAUCUUUGCCUCUUGGGCGAUUUAAACGAAGAUGGUCUUUAUCGGUUUGAGCCCAAGAUUUCCCAAAAGGAAUAUACCUCGCCCUCUUUUGUCUUUACACCUGAAGCCACGUAGAGAGAAACACUAUCCUUCAAGGAGUUUCCAUCUAAAUGGUAGCGACCUAAGGGGCCGAAGGUCACCUUUACUUUCCUUCUGAUCAUGUGGGGGACCGUUGUGUCAGGGGGCAACAUAACUGAAUUUGCUGGCCUGUGUCCUUGAGCUCAACACUAGACUCAGUAUUGUGGAAGACUUCACUGACCUCCAUGAGUGACCACUCGCAGAUAGGGCCUGAUGACCUGCAUGUCUAUCCGGUGCUCCUUAU